rnacentral:rRNA from 1 species
GGAAUAUUGGUCAAUGGGCGAGAGCCUGAACCAGCCAAGUAGCGUGAAGGAUGACGGCCCUAUGGGUUGUAAACUGCUUUUGUACGGGAAUAAAGUGCGGGACGUGUCCCGUUUUGUAUGUACCGUAAGAAUAAGGACCGGCUAAUUCCGUGCCAGCAGCCGCGGUAAUACGGAAGGUCCGGGCGUUAUCCGGAUUUAUUGGGUUUAAAGGGAGCGCAGGCGGGGAGCUAAGCGUGACGUGAAAUGUAGCCGCUCAACGGCUGAACUGCGUCGCGAACUGGCUUUCUUGAGUGAGUACGACGUCAGCGGAAUUCGUGGUGUAGCGGUGAAAUGCUUAGAUAUCACGAAGAACCCCGAGUGCGAAGGCAGCUGACGAGUCCUUUACUGACGCUAAAGCUCGAAGGUGCGGGUAUCGAACA